GACCUGCCCAGUACGCUUCGCAAUCAGGGGAGAGGGGGGGAAGCCUACUACCUAGGGUAAACCAUGGUACACGAUUCGUUAUGCAUGUUGCUGUUGUAGGCACAUUAGGCCUUCUCUCUUUGUUUCUGCUUAAACACGGCGUUGCCUCGUUGAAGAACCACCCGUAUCUACAGGAUCAAACCUCAGUUUCACUCUCACUGAGACUGCUGAUUCCCAUCCUUCUCCCGUAUGCCAUGAAACUGAGGAUCUUUCUGCAUCCGGAGCGUUCUCUACACUACCGACUGGGCAAAAUUCUGCACGCUUCGCCAAGGAGCAAGGGGCCGAGGGACGACUGACUGCCCCGUCUACGUCAAGGAACAGCGUAGAUUUCAUCUCGUUCUGCACACUGUCAAGAUCACUGACUCGACGGCCCGGCUUCCCCAGCUACCUGGCGCAUCGCCGCACGGCCCACCAAUCGGCGUGGGAGGCUCGUACCGGCUGCCUUUAUAAGGGACGGCACUGCGGGCGGCAGCUCAGUUUGGCAGCGGCGCGCAAGCAGCGUACAGGUUCGCUCACCCGCCCAUUUUGACGCAGGGUGGAAUCAAUCGUCAAUGAAUUCAAUCCCGACCUGGGUCGAUCACUGAAAAUGCACCGUGGGACAACCGUAUAAGAGUCGCUUGGAUGUUAGCAUUCUCAAUGUGGGAAAGGGGUCGCUCCAACCCCUUUCCGUCUGUUGAGCUCUACUUUUCCUCUCCCGCUGUGUCACGUGGCCCUUUUUCACGAAGUCCGACAAUGACGGCACAGGGUCCACAUAAACAGCUUCGCUGUAAUAUAAGUCUCUUGUAAUAAAAGAAUACGAGCUUGA